GAAACACUUCCUGUGAAAAGAAGAAGCACAUCCUUUGAAAAGAAAGAUAGUGUUCAACAAAAAGCCAAAGUAUGAUCUAUUUGCAUUCCCUGCUGCAAGCUAGAAAAUAAGAACCGCUUCUGAAAUGACCGUUGUGAGAACAAACUACCUUGCGCUGCAGCCGGUUUCUCCCUGUUGCGUGUUAAUAGCCCAGAUGAUUUAAAACUCAGUGUUGUGAACCGAAAGUUUACACUUUUUUUCAGAAACGAAGAGAGCAAAUUGCAGUGAGUCCUGUCUGACAAACAGUCUAAUUCACUCCAAAGUGUUGUGAACUUUGAUUUGUUUUUCUUUUCCAAACAGGCUUCAGCAUCCUGCUUCUGUGAAAGUUGCUUUCAGUGAUUAUAUUAAUGGGACUGAACAUUUCUUAGAAGUUAGCUGUUUUUAAGCUUGCUCUCUCUUUUGCUGAAAAUAAGCCUAGUGCAAGUCCUGGAACCUUUUAAAGAAAAGAAAAUAAAA